AGUAUGGGGAUCUGCCGAAUGGAGGGGGACAACAGUUGGAAACGACUGCUAAUACCGCAUAAAGUUGAGAGACCAAAGCAUGGGACUUUCGGGCCAUGCGCCAUUCGAUGAACCCAUAUGGGAUUAGCUAGUUGGUAGGGUAAUGGCUUACCAAGGCGACGAUCUCUAGCUGGUCUGAGAGGAUGACCAGCCACACUGGAACUGAGACACGGUCCAGACUCCUACGGGAGGCAGCAGUGGGGAAUAUUGCACAAUGGGGGAAACCCUGAUGCAGCCAUGCCGCGUGUAUGAAGAAGGCCUUCGGGUUGUAAAGUACUUUCGGUAACGAGGAAGGUGGUGUAUCUAAUAGGUGCAUCAAUCGACGUUAAUUACAGAAGAAGCACCGGCUAACUCCGUGCCAGCCG
rnacentral:rRNA from 1 species